rnacentral:rRNA from 1 species
UACGUAGGGUGCAAGCGUUGUCCGGAAUUAUUGGGCGUAAAGAGCUCGUAGGCGGUUUGUCGCGUCUGCUGUGAAAACCCGAGGCUCAACCUCGGGCCUGCAGUGGGUACGGGCAGACUAGAGUGCGGUAGGGGAGAUUGGAAUUCCUGGUGUAGCGGUGGAAUGCGCAGGAUAUCAGGAGGAACACCAAUGGCGAAGGCAGAUCUCUGGGCCGUAACUGACGCUGAGGAGCGAAAGCAUGGGGAGCGAACAGG